GUAUUCCUUAUAAAACUGAAACUCUGGUGAAGGACCGUGGCAGGUGUUGAUGUGAUGUGAUUUCUGCCCAGUGCUCUCAGUGUCAAAGUGAAGAAAUUCGAUGACGCGCGGGUAAAGGGCGGGAGUAACUAUGGUUCUCCUAAGGUAGCCAAAUGCCUCGUCAUCUGAUUAGUGACGCGCAUGAAUAGAUGAAUGAGAUUC
rnacentral:ncRNA from 1 species